GCCUGGGUAGCUUAGUCGGUUAAGUGUCUGACUCCUGGUCUUGGCUCAGGCCAUGAGCUCACAGUUGGUGGGUUCGAACCCCACAUCGGGCU
rnacentral:tRNA from 1 species